UACGUAGGGUGCGAGCGUUAAUCGGAAUUACUGGGCGUAAAGCGUGCGCAGGCGGUGAUGUAAGACCGAUGUGAAAUCCCCGGGCUUAACCUGGGAACUGCAUUGGUGACUGCAUCGCUCGAGUAUGGCAGAGGGGGGUAGAAUUCCACGUGUAGCAGUGAAAUGCGUAGAGAUGUGGAGGAAUACCGAUGGCGAAGGCAGCCCCCUGGGUCAAUACUGACGCUCAUGCACGAAAGCGUGGGGGAGCAAACAGGG
rnacentral:rRNA from 1 species